rnacentral:lncRNA from 1 species
GCUGACUGCAGCGAGGAAGUAGCAGCGGCCGCUCUGAGCUCUCAGGAACAGGCAGGAGGGAGGGAGUGACCCCCCUGCAAAGUACAGCCCCCGCCUGAGCCCACACCCGCCCCCCUCUCCUCUCCUCUCCCCUCCCCCGGGGCCGCUGAGCCGGAGGGGCCCAGCCCGUGUGUAGUGUGCGGAGAUGGCAGGGCUCGUGGGAAAUGGAGCUCAAGUGUCCUACAUUGGUCAAGAUUGCAAAGAAAUUCCAGAAUUUCUAGGAAGAAAAUAUGGAGGUAUUGCAAAACGGCUAGACCUUAGUUUCAACUUGUUAAGGUACUGACUCUGGCAAUCUAAAUAACUUCACAGCAGACAUGAAGACUGUGCCUUGGUGAGUUCCUCAGUUAAUUAUUCUUUAGGCCUUUAACAAAG